UACGAAGGGGGCUAGCGUUGUUCGGAUUAACUGGGCGUAAAGGGUGCGUAGGCGGGUUUUUAAGUCAGGGGUGAAAUCCCGAGGCUCAACCUCGGAACUGCCUUUGAUACUGGAAAUCUUGAGUCUGGGAGAGGUGAGUGGAACUGCGAGUGUAGAGGUGAAAUUCGUAGAUAUUCGCAAGAACACCAGUGGCGAAGGCGACUCACUGGCCCGAUACUGACGCUGAGGCGCGAAAGCGUGGGGAGCAAACAGG
rnacentral:rRNA from 1 species